rnacentral:rRNA from 1 species
CUACAUAUCAAUAAGCGGAGGAAAAGAAACCAACAGGGAUUGCCCUAGUAACGGCGAGUGAAGCGGCAACAGCUCAAAUUUGAAAUCUGGCCUUCUUUGGGGGUCCGAGUUGUAAUUUGCAGAGGGUGCUUUGGCGUUGGCAGCGGUCUAAGUUCCUUGGAACAGGACAUCACAGAGGGUGAGAAUCCCGUACGUGGUCGCCUGCCUUCGCCGUGUAAAGCCCCUUCGACGAGUCGAGUUGUUUGGGAAUGCAGCUCUAAAUGGGAGGUAAAUUUCUUCUAAAGCUAAAUACUGGCCAGAGACCGAUAGCGCACAAGUAGAGUGAUCGAAAGAUGAAAAGCACUUUGGAAAGAGAGUCAAACAGCACGUGAAAUUGUUGAAAGGGAAGCGCUUGCAGCCAGACUUGCUCGUAGUUGCUCACCUGGGUUCGCCCGGGGCACUCUUCUGCGGGCAGGCCAGCAUCAGUUUGGGCGACCGGAUAAAGGCCUCUGUCAUGUAUCUUCCUUCGGGAUGACCUUAUAGGGGAGGCGCAAUACGGCCAGCCCGGACUGAGGUCCGCGCAUCUGCUAGGAUGCUGGCGUAAUGGCUGUAAGCGGCCCGUCUUGAAACACGGACCAAGGAGUCUAACAUCUAUGCGAGUGUUUGGGUGUCAAGCCCGAGCGCGUAAUGAAAGUGAACGGAGGUGGGAACCCUCUUCGGGGGGUGCACCAUCGACCGAUCCUGAUGUCUUCGGAUGGAUUUGAGUAAGAGCAUAGCUGUUGGGACCCGAAAGAUGGUGAACUAUGCUUGAAUAGGGUGAAGCCAGAGGAAACUCUGGUGGAGGCUCGCAGCGGUUCUGACGUGCAAAUCGAUCGUCAAAUUUGGGCAUAGGGGCGAAAGACUAAUCGAACUAUCUAGUAGCUGGUUCCUGCGA